AUGCCAUCUGCGCUCCGCUCUGCGUCCACUCUCCUAGUUGCCAAGAUGAGCCAUUGUCGUUUCCCCAACGAGAUCGGGUCGUCCAUGAACUCCCCCCUCCUCAAGCAGCUCUCCUUGAUGGAAGUUUCCAUCUCGGAGGAUGUCUUCCACCAUUGGCUCUCUGGUUUCCAUGCCUUGGAGAGCCUUUACGUUUUCGAAGUUAGUGGUGUGCGAUGCCUCCGUAUUAGCUCGCCCACAAUCAGGAGCAUCUGCUUCCGUAGCUCCAUACCAGAAAGAGAACUGGUCAUCGAGGAUGCUCCUUGCCUGGUAAGGUUACUAAUAGUAACUUACAGUUCCCGUGUUAAUUAUUGUGUUACUAUCCGGGUAAUUAGGGUGCCUAAACUGGAGAUAUUGGGCCCUUUGCUACCCGUCGCCUCAAAGCUAAUCUCCCAGGUAGCAGCAGCAGCAUCCUUGAAUCUUGUAUUUGGCAUUCCUUCAUGCAGAUAA
rnacentral:rRNA from 1 species